rnacentral:lncRNA from 1 species
CCCGGGCAGAGGAGGCUGCCUUCACCGAGUCAUCCCCUUCUUUCUCAGUCUUGCCUAGCACCUCGAGGAAGGAAGAAACCACCUUCACCCUGAGUCUCAAGGUGAAGCUUCCACCAUUCCGGCACCCAGGAGCAGGCAGAGCCCCAGACUCUGGAAGGAGCUCUGCCACCCCGGGCUUUCCAGAAGACCUUUGGAGAUGAUCUCGCCCGCAUCAUCUUUCCCGUCUCAGGUGCCCUCAUCUCGGAGACGCUGUGGAGAGUACAGAGCAACCCAGUGUUCCCACAGCCUGUGGAAGAGGUUUCACAUCAAGGAAGCAGGCAGCAGGAGCCCCCAGCAUGCCGCGCCUGGCCGAGCAGCCAGGGGAACCCCAAGCCCACACCUCACGCUCCAAUGGCAACAACAAACGCAACUCCCGGAGGAACCAGCACAAAGCUCAGCAUCUGGGCUCCUCAGCCAAGCUCCGGAAGUGACUGUGAACACGUGCUCCCCCGAGACCCCAGGGCCUGCCCUCCUGCCUGCAACUGUGCCCCUAACAACAGAAACAAAACCCGUACAAGCCGCCGAAUUCCAGCUGCAUCUGCUAUCUUUAGGCAACCAACAGCUUGCAGGCCUCGGAGCUACACCAUGCAAAUUGCACCUGUGUUCGGUAAAUUACGCCAGAGGCAAAUUAC